UAUAUUAAAACAGUAAAAGAUUUUAAAGUAAUGAGUGUUUCAAACAGAAUAAAUAGAAAACAAACAAAAAAAAAAAAAGAAAUAUGUAAGAAGAUAAAACACAUUGUUUCUAUUCUUACAAAUUUUCAAUAAAAUGCAUUAAUUAUUUGUUAUACAAUGAUUUCGUAAAAUAUUUGUUCCGCUUCAUUGAUCGAUGGGUUAACUUCCUAAUACGUAGAGCCGAACAAAAAACUCGAAGGCCAUACCGAUUUAUCGGACCUACGGAUCUUUUAAUCCGUGCAUACAGGAUGCGUUUAGUUCUGUCACUCUUAAACAAGGACAUUUGCCUCUAUAUAAUUGAUUAAACCGACUGGAACAAACAAACAGUCUACUGACGCUUGCUUUUUAACAUGUCUUUCAUUUCUUAUAUCGCGCUCUUUUUCUUUAUUCAACGCAGCCUUUGUGCAUCUGACUUGAUUGUCCCGCAGAAUAACGAACAAUCAAGAUCUUCUUUGUCAGACUCUGUGCAAAAAAAGAUCGAUGAAGAGCAUGCAAUUUUCGACGAAGAGAAGACAAGUAAGGAAAGUAGUUCCAUUUAUAAUAGGGGGCAACUAGGAUUUAAUGAACGUAAGCGAGAUGAAAAGAGAUACGGCAACCAAGAUACAGCACGCAAAGGGCAUGACAAAGGAAGGCAUAGUUUAGGAGAAUCCGAAGUCGUCGAUCACGAGAAGAAUUCUUUUGAACGGCAUGGUAGUGGAUAUUACAAAAAAGGGCAUCACAGGACCGGUUUCAGCAACAACUACCAUAAAGACGAGUCAGGAAAUAAUUCAAGCUUUUACGAGGACAGCGAUGACGAAGGGGGGCAUAGGUCGUCCGGGAAUACCGGUGGAUAUUAUGGGCAAAAAUCGCAGAACUCGUUUAGGGACGGUUCGCGCGAUGUAUCUUACCUUGAAAAAGAUAAGGCACAACAGGGAAUAUAUGACAAUAGAAAAAUUAUUAACAAUUAUCAUGGUCAUAUCAGAGGAUAUAACAACGAUCGAUAUAUAGAUGAUAGAAGAAAUUAUCUGAGGAACGAAGCACGACAUUAUUUUGAUAAAAAUAAGGGAGAUAUAUACAAUCAUAAAGAAAGGUAUUAUCCAAUUACUUAUCGUAAUAACGAUCGUGUGCCCUCGUUCGGAUAUUCGCAUCAUUACGUGGAUACAUUACCUGGAGGAUAUUACAGAGAAGAUCCGUACAUUAUACCUUAUUCAAAAGAUUAUAGAUAUUUUCCACAUCGACAAAGAGAUUACGAACAAGAAAUAUAUUAUCCUUAUACAAGUGUUUACACUAAAAAUAAUCGAGACGAUUUUGAUGAUAACGGAUACUCAAAGAAAUAUGGGAAUGAUUUUAAUAAUGCAUAUCACGGAAUUUAGAACUUGAUUUUACAACGUAAAGUAUAGAUGUAGAGAGCGAUGACUAAAAUGCAAAGUACACCAGAAGGUCCACCACCAUCAUGAAUAAAGGAUACGACAAAGCUUCUGCAACUUUAUUAAAUUCAUUAUAAAGACGGUACUUUAACUUUGAUAAUUUUAUAGCCAUUUUAAUUUUUGUAUGAAAAUGUCUUUUCUGCGACGUCGUCUGCUACUUACGUGUGAUGUUUGGUUGCAUAUUUACGGUGUUAUCGUAGAGAGUAAAAUGCAGCAUAGUUAAAUAUACAUUAAAAGCAUU